CUCAGGNCGGAACGCUGGCGGCGUUGCUUAACACAUNCAAGUCGANCGAUGAANCUCCUUCGGGAGUGGAUUAGCGGCGGACGGGUGAGUAACACGUGGGUAACCUGCCUCGUAGAGGGGAAUANCCUUCCGAAAGGAAGAUUAAUACCGCAUAAGAUUGUAGUUUCGCAUGAAACAGCAAUUAAAGGAGUAAUCCGCUAUGAGAUGGACCCGCGUCGCAUUAGCUAGUUGGUGAGGUAACGGCUCACCAAGGCGACGAUGCGUAACCGACCUGAGAGGGUGAUCGGCCACAUUGGGACUGAGACACGGCCCAGACUCCUACGGGAGNCAGCAGUGGGGAAUAUUGCACAAUGGGGGAAACCCUGAUGCANCAACGCCGCGUGAGUGAUGACGGUCUUCGGAUUGUAAAACUCUGUCUUCAGGGACGAUAAUGACGGUACCUGAGGAGAA
rnacentral:rRNA from 1 species